rnacentral:lncRNA from 1 species
GAUGUCAAAGAUACCCAAACAGACUUAGUAUUACAAGUGUUUGAGCAAAUGAAGUUAAUACAAGAAUGAGUUAUCAUAUUAACUACUGAAGUUACAAAUGUAAAAGUGCAGUUUGAGCACUAUAAAAAACAAGAAGCUAUUAGCAAAGAUACUGUGCAGGAAGAGCAUAUUUAAAAACUAGACCUAGAAGGUGACGAUGAGAAAUACCUAAAAACUCAAAUUACUAACGAAAUUACAAUUACAGCUGCAGGCGCAAGUGAUGUAUCCAAGGGAAAGAAUAUAGUCACUCAAAACAAACUUGAACUACCAAAGAAAAAGAAUUAUAACCUUAACAAGAUAUUCUCAAAACUAUAUACACCAAAUAUACAAAAACGAGAGUCAUCUAUACCUCCCCAGAUAUACACUUAUUCCGAAUCACUCAAUCAACAAAAGCAGAAUACUCAAUCAACAAAAGCAGACUUAUAACCAUAUUACUCGUACAUAUAUUGAUAAUAUUUAUACCUUACAAAAAUUGUUAAACACAAAACCUAUCUAGAGUGAAGAAUUAGCAAAACAAACCAAGGAUAUAUUACACAAAAAUGUCAGAACCAUAACAAACUUAUUACUUUGUCUGACACUAGUGCAAACUUAAUUGCUUCAUGUUACUAUUAUGGACUAUUAUCUACAGUUUACACAAUUACUAGAGAAGAGUUAACAAGAAUUCCAGAUAUUCACAAAAAAUUUAUGGAUUAUAAAAGGAUUACGAAGGGACAGUUAUUCUAUGUUCGUUUCUACUUAGCACCAGCAGAAAUAUUAUUUGAUGAAAUAAAACAGACAAUUACUGUUGUCAAGAUAGGAAUGACACAAGACUAUAUUAUCCCUGAAGAAAUAUGCGAACAAGAAGAGAUAACCAAAAAUCAGAUACAGGACUUCUACCGAAACAAGGGACUUAUUGGACUUAGUAGUAUAUUGACCAAGUUAGUAAAUAAUUAUAUAAAUUAAAACCCAGUUUAGAUUUACUAUAAUAGAAAUCAAUUAUUGUUUUAAUCUACUUGUAGAAAUAUUAGAUAAAAUGAUAGAUAAGAGAUAAGAACAUGGGUUAUAACAAUCCUAAAACCGAAAGAGUUAUCAGUCACAAGAUCUAUUACGAAAAGAGUUAUUUCAGAAGAAGCUAUGAAACAAUUCUGUAAACAGGUUGACCAAAGAUACUAUGACCACAAAUGCAGCAGGUGUAGUGGCAGACACAACUUUAUCCCAGAUAUGAUGCUACAAUAGCAAGAAGAUAAAAAAGAAGUAAUAAUGAAAGAAAAAAAGAUAUUAAAGGAAGAAAGUGACAUAUGAAGAUAGAAAGAGACAUAUUGAGAAAAGAUGAAUAAUCUUUACGUAAAGAAAUUAUGUAGUUAUUAUUUUUGUCUUUUUGAGUCUUUGAUUUUUUGUCUUGUAUAGCUUUAUAGCCUUUUUGACUUUCUGUAACAUGUGAAUUAUUAAGUAGGAUACAUGUAAAGUUAGGAAUAGUAGAACAGGAUACACAUUUUCUUUUUAGGAUUAUAAAUAACAGAGCAUUUGCUCAGUUAGAGCUAAGACUUUAUGUGUUGAAAACAAGCCUCCUUUUUUGUAAAUAAAAAACUUUUCAAUAUUUAAUAGAAAACAGAUAUAUUUUCAAGGAAAAGCUAUGGAUAAACCAAGUCCAGAAUUAUCAAAUCUACCAGAACAGGUAUAUUUAUUUACGAUUAUGAAUAGCUAAAUUCAUAAAUUUCUGACAAUCAUGAUAUGAUAAAAUAAGUUCAUGAUAGUUACUUUAUAGUAGAAUUAUUCGAAAAGGAAAAAUCCCUAAGAACUAUGCCAUCCUAAAGGUGAAAUCGGUGAGGCAAGAAAGCCGUGAUAGGGGAGUAGCCAGAGUAGAGGCGCUGUUAAAGGAAAAAGUAUCCAGAUUACCAUGCUAAUAGUAAUCGAAUAACAUGUUAUUUAAGAAUAAUCUAGUAUAUCGUAAUCUAAAAUGGUCAUAUUUUGUUAUGUUUAUGAUUGAAGGGAAUAUUUUGAAAAAAGCAUCAUAUGAAAAAUGAAUACUUAUUUAUCUAACGAAAUGGUAGAUAAAUUUAAAAUACUUAUUUUGUAUGUACUUAAGGAUAUAGAAACUGUAGAUAUAAGAAAAAUCAUAUUGAAAAAAAUAUUUGAUAAAUAUUUUAUGACUAGAAUAAAUUACAUACCUCACCUACCUAAUUAUCCUUACAAAUACUUACAUACCAAACCUACUUAUCAACAAUGAUAAAUUAGGUAUAUUUAGAAUAUUGGAAAAUGGAUAUGAAAAAUAUACAAUUAAUAGAAAAACUAAUGAAAACAAAUUUAGAAGAAUAUAUGAGAACUAAAGAUAUAAAAUAUAUAGAAUCCUUAAUGAAAAUAUAGAGGAAUUAUUAAGAUUAAAACAAACAACUAAUAAAUACUNNNNNNNNNNNNNNNNNNNNNNNNNNNCAAUUCCAAGUUAUCCAAGUUAUUUGUAGAAACCUAAGCAUAAUAUGGAUAAUAUGACAAGGUAUAUAUCUGAUGAAACUAAGAUACUAGUUUUAUAUAUCAUAAAAGACUUAGAAUUAGAAGACAUAAAGAAAAUAAUAUGAAAAAAAUAUUUGAUUAUGAAGAUGAGUUGCUAAGUACUAAUUGGAUAGAAGAUCAAUUAGAAAAUAUAGAUUUCUAUCGUAGAAAUAAUUCAGACAGUUAUUAUUCAGAUGGAUAUUAUACAGAUUAAAAAUGCUAGAAUAUAUUAAUAGAGUUACAGAAAAACAAAGUUGGCUAUACGAAGAAAUUAAUUAUAGAAACCAUCUUUGAAAAGGAAGAGAACAAUUAAAAGAAAGAUUAAUUUGGAUAUAUAAAACUAUAAAACAACUAGAAUUAAAAGAUAAUUUAGAAUAUAGACAUGGAAUUAUUCAUAGAUGAAAAAGACACGAUAAUUAACGAAAUAGAUAACCUAGAAUUUAAUAUCAGGUAUAGUAUAAUUAGAAUAAAUUAUUACAAAGAAAUUUGCAGUAUCAUAACUACUUUAGGAUAAAAUGGUAGACUUUGAGUAUUCAAGAUAUUGGAGACAAGAUAUGGAAGAAAUAAGAUUAACAAAAAUACUUAUGAAAGAGAAUUUAAUUGAAUAUUUUAGAACAAAAAAUAUAGAAUAUUUAGAAUACCUCCAAAAUAAUAUACAAUAAUUACAAAGACUAAGAGGAAUAAUUAAAGAAUAUUACAGUAAAGUAUUUAGUCAAAUACCAUCUAAUCACCCCCAAGAUAUGAACAUUAAUAAAAUUAAAUAAAUACACUAAAAAUAAAAAUGUUUAGAGAAGUUAAGAAAUAUCCUCACACAACUAAAAGUAGAUCCAUUAGAGCAAUAAUAGAUCUAUUUAAGUUACCCAAGUUAUUCGCACCCCCUACAAUUGGUAUCAGAGAAAUAAAUAUCUAAAAAAUGUAAAGAAUUAAAAAUAAGAAUAGAAAGAUUAUAAUAUAACAUAAUUAUCGGAGUUAGUAAAAAUUAAAUAAAUGCACAAAAAUAAGAAAUAUCAAAUUUAGAAUCAACAAUAGAUAGUCUAGAAUAUAUGUAUCAACAUAACCUAUAUACGUUUAAAUAAAAUGAACAAAAGAGAAUUUAUAAUAGACGAAAAAACAUAUGAAAAUCAUGAAGGAUUAAAAAUAAAAAUAAUAUUCUCUAAUUUAGGAAGAAGAUAUAAGAAAAUAGGUGAGCAUUUAUAUUUAAUGUUAGAAAAAUAAGAAUUAAAAUUAGAAGAUAAGUUGGCAGUCAUGGUAAGAAUAGAAAGAGAGAACGAAGAGAUAGACAGAAAAAAGGAAAUAGAUAAAAUAAAAUAACAAACCAUAGAAGAAAUAUGAAAAAUAGAAGAAACUAAAAAAAUAGGAUUGCUGAAUUAGAAAAAGAACUACAAAUGCUAAAAGAUUUGUAUGAAAAAUAAAGAAAGAAAAAGAUAAAGAACAAAAAUUAUUAAAUGAGAUAAAUCAAUUUAAAGAAAAAUUAGAAAUAAAAAAUAAAGAACCAAAAACUAGUGAAUUAGAAAUAAAUAUAAUAGAUGCUGAAGAAACAGAUAAUUAUGAUUCGGAAGAUAGUGAAACACAUACAGAAAUUCUAUAAAACAUAGGAAAACUAGAAAUUAAUGUAAAACAAAAAGUAAUUAAUAAAAAAAUCUAGAACUAAUAAAUACAAAAGUAAUACUCUAGAUAAAAAUAUAAUACCCAGUGCAUCAGAAAUAAGAAAAUCAACAUAUAAUUACAAAAGUAAGUUUAAAAGAUAUAAUCCAAAGGAUGAAUAUAAUAAAUGGACACCAAAACAAAUAAUUAAUUACAACUUUUUGAAUUUAGACUGUUUAAUAGACACAAAUAAAAUAAUACAACUAACAUGUAAUAGACUGCAGAUAUGCAAAAGGAAGAGUUAGUAUACCUCUAGUAACAAAAAGAAUAAUUAAUAAAGAAAUAAACGAUAUAAAAAGUAAAGACCCAAUAAAAUAUGUACACCUUGGAGGAACAGAGAUAUUAAUAAAAACAUGUUUUAGAGAAGGAAUAGAUACACCAAUAGAAUUAUAUUUAGCAGAUGAUAGAACUAUAAAAUCUAUAGGAAAAAGUAUAAUAACGACCAAAAAAGGAAAUUUAAAAUACCAAAAAUUUAAAUUUAUAAUAAGUACAAAUUAUUCAUUAGCAAUAACAGAUAAAAAUAUAGAUAAAUCAUUAGUAUUAUAUUGGAAAAUAUCAGGAACAGAACUAACCCCAGGAAGUAAAAUAUUUACCGCAAGAUGUAAAAAUCUAUAUGUAUUAAUAACAAAACAUAAAAUAAUAGGAAAAAAUAAAAUUAAUAAAAUACAAAUAGAAAGCCCUUUUGAACAAUUUGUAAAAAUAAUUGAUACUAAUGAUUAUAGUCACAAAGACAUAGAUAUAGAAGAAGAUUUAGAAAUAAUAAAUGAUAGAAUAAGUACAACAAAAAGAAUAACUCAUGAAAAAUCAGAAUCAUUAAGCUCAUAAAAAAGAAUAAGUUAUGAAACAACUUGAAUAGUUAAUUCAAAUCGAUAUUAUAUAACAGGAACAAUAAAUGAAAAAGAUUAUUUAAUACUCUUAAACACAGGACAAGUAGAAAAUUAUAUAGCAAAAUAUCUAGUAAAACGUGAAGAAAUAAAAUCUAAUAGUAAUAUAUGCCCAGAUCUAUCAAGAAGUCUAAUAAACAUUAAAGAUAUAGCUGAAAAGGAAAUAAUAAUAAGAGUUAGGAAAAUAAAAAUAGAAUUUGAAAUAAAGAAAGAUAUGCAAAAAAGCAGAUAUAAUAUUAGAAAUAAAAUGGUUAGAACAAGUAAAACCAUACAAUAUAGAACAUACACAAUUAUCUAUAACAUAUAAUAAAAAAAGAUUAUUCAUAAAAAGAGUUUUAACAUGAUAUGAAAAACAUAUGUACUUGUAAAAAUAAUAGUAGAAGGAUAUUUUAAUAGGUAUUAUACACCUAUGAUAGAUACAUGAGCAGAAGCAAAGUUAUGUAGAUACAACUGUUUACCAGAAAGUAAAUGAGAUAAAUUAAAAACACCAAUAGUAGUCAAAGGAUUUAAUAAUGAAGAAAGUUUAAUUACAUAUAAAGCUAAAAAUGUAAAAAUACAGAUAUGUGAUAAAAAAAUAACAAUAGAAGAAAUCUAUAAUUAUGAACUAACAUCAAAAGAUAUGCUUUUAGGAAUGCCAUUUUUAGAUAAAUUAUAUCCACAUAUAAUAACUAAAAUAGAUUGGUAGUUUACAACACCAUGUAAAUAAAAAGUAAGGGAAAAAAGAGUUAUUAAUAAAAUAAGAAAUAAAACUGAUUGGAUAAAGGGAAAUGAAAAAAUUACACAAAAAUUAGAAAAUAUAAAAAAUACAGAAGACACAGUAGAACUAGUUGUAUUUUCGAUAAAUAAAAAAGAAAUAACCAUAUUUUCAAUAGAUAAGGUAGAAAUAAUAAAGAAAAAAUUAAGACAAUUAUAUAGUGAAGAUCAAUUUAAAGGAUAGAAAAAACAUAAAACUACUAUAAAAAUUGAAUUAAUAGAGAAAAAUAGCAUAAUAACUCAAAAACCAUUAAUAUAUAAUUUUGACGAUUUAAAAGAAUUUAGAAUGCAUAUAGAUGAAUUAUUAAAAAAACAAUAUAUACAAAAAAGUAAUAGUAAACAUAAUAGUCCAGCAUUUAUAAUAAAUAAACAUAGUGAACAAAAAUGAGGAAAAAGAAGAAUGGUUAUUGACUAUAGAAAUUUAAAUGCAAAAACUAUGACAUAUAAUUAUCCAAUACCAAAUAAGAUAUUAAAAAUAAGACAAAUUCAAGGAUAUAACUACUUUGGUAAAUUUGACUGUAAAUCUGUAUUUACCAGUUAAAAUUAGAAGAAGAUUCUAAGAUUACCACAAGGAUUUUAUGAAUGGAACGUAUUACCAUUUGGAUAUAAAAUGCAUCAGGUAGAUAUCAAUAUUUUAUGGAUAGUUAUUUUAGACAAUUACCUAAUUGUAUAGUAUACAUAGAUGAUAUACUACUAUAUACAAAAAUUAAAGAAGUACAUUUAAAAUUACAAGAACAAUUUACAGAUAUAAUAGAAAAAUCAGGAAUAAGUUUAAGCGAAAAGAAAGCUGAAAUUAUGAAACCAGAUAGAAUUUUUAUGAAUACAAAUAGAUAAAAGUGGAGUAAAAAUUCUAUCUGGUUUCAUAAUUAAAAUAAUAAAUUCAAAAGAAGAAUUAGAUACAAAAAAGAAAUUACAAUCAUUUCUAGGAUUAGUAAAUCAAGUAAGAGAAUAUAUACCAAAAUUAGCAGAAAACCUAAAGCCUUUACAGAAAAAAUUAAAAAAGGAUGUAGAGUACAAUUACAACGAGGAAGAUAAAAAACAAGUUCAGAAAAAAAUACUUUGUAAAGAAUUACAAAAGUUACAAUUCACAGACGAACAUAAAAAAUUUACAUAUAUAGUAGAAGCAGAUGUAAGUGAAUAUAGUUAUGGAAGAGUACUUAAUUAUAGGUACGAAAAUGAAAAAAUAGAACAUCAUUGUAGAUAUUAUUCAGGAACAUUUAAUGAAACAAAAAUAAAAUGGAAAAUAAAUAGAAAGAAUUACGUUCAUUAUGUAAAUGUGUAUUAACAUUUGAACCAUAUAUUGUAUAUAACAAAUUUAUUGUGAGAACAGAUAAUACCCAGGUUCGAUGGUGGUUAACAAGAAAAAUACAAAAUUCAGUUACGACAAAUGAAUAUUAGUACUGAAUAUAUUAAAUUUUACAUUUAUGAUUGAGGUAAUCAAGACUGACAAGAAUGUUAUUGUAGAUUACAUAUCAAUACAAAGCUACUCAAACUGAUUUACCAAUGGAAGAAGCUGAUGUCAAAGAUACACAAACAGACUUAAUAUUACAAGUGUUUGAACAAAUGAAGUUGUUACAAGAACGAGUUAUUACAUUAACUACUGAAGUUACAAAUGUAAAAGUGCAUGUUGAUCACUAUAAAAAACAAGAAGCUAUUAGCAAAGAUACUGUGCAGAAGAACACAUUAAAAAACUAGACCUAAAAUAUGACGAAGAGAAACACCUAAAAACUCAAAUUACUAACGAAAUUAUACUUAUAGCUGCAGGCGCAAGUGAUGUUUCCAAGGGAAAGAAUAUAGUCACUCAAAAUAAACUUGAACUACCAAAGAAAAAGAAUUAUAACCUCAACUAGAUAUUCUCAAAACCAUAUACACCAAAUAUACAAAAACCAGAGUCAACUAUACCUCCCCAGAUAUACACAUAUUCCAAAUCACUCAAUCAACAAAAACAGACUUAUAACCAUAUCACUCGUACAUAUAUUGAUAAUAUUUAUACCUUACAAAAAUUGUUAAACACAAAACCUAUCCAGAGUGAAGAAUUAGCAAAACAAAAUCAAGGAUACACUACAUAAAAAUGUCAGAACUAUAACAAACUUAUUGCUUUGCCUGGCACCAGUACAAACUUAAUUUCCUCAUGUUACUAUUAUGGACUAUUAUCUACAGUUUACACAAUUACUGGAGAAGAGUUAACAAGAAUUCCAGAUAUUCACAAAAAAUUUAUGGAUUAUAAAAGGAUUACGAAGGGACAAUUAUUCUAUGUCCGUUUCUACUCAGCACCAGCAGAAAUAUUAUUUGAUGAAAUAAACCAGACAAUUACUGUUGUCAAGAUAGGAAUGACAUGAAACUAUAUUAUCCCUGAAAAAAUAUGUGAACAAGAAGAGAUAACCAAAAAUCAAAUAUCGGACUUCUACCAAAACAAGAGAGUUAUUGGACAUAGCAGUAUAUUGACUGAGUUAGUUAAUAAUUAUAUAAAUCAAAAUCCAGUUUGGAUUUACUAUAACAAAAAACAAUUAUUAGUUUACUCUACUUUUAAAAAUAUUAGAGAAAAUAAUAGAGAAGAGAUAAGAAAAUGGGUCAUAACGAUCCUAAAACCAGAAGAGUUACCAGUCACAAGAUCUAGUAUAAAAGGAAUUGUUUCAGAAGAAGCUAUGGACCAAUUCUGUAAACAGGUUGGCCAAAGAUACGAUGACCACAUAUGUAACAGAUGUAGUGGCAGACACAACUUUAUCACAGAUGUGAUGCUACAAUAGCAAGAACACGACAAAAAGAUAAGAAGAUGGAUCAAUAAUGGAAAGAUAAGGAGACAAAAAAUCGAAGUGAAGAAAGUGACAUAUGAAGAAAAAGCUAACUUUAUGAAAUAUGUAAUACAUAAAUCAUGUGAAUAUUUAAUAGCUUUACUAUUUUAGGAUAGACUUUUUGACUUUUGACACUUGCCAUUAAAUGUAAAGACAUAGGGCCAUUAUUGGUUUUUAUUAGUUUUUGACUAGAAAUAGUAUAUAGGUAACGUGUAAAGUUAUAUUAGGACACGUGUAAAGAUGUAAAACUUAAUGUGCUUUCUUAGGAUUAUAAAUAGAGAGAAUUUUUGCUCAGUUAGAGGCAAGACUUUCAUGUGUUGAAAGCAAGCCUCCUCUUUUGUAAAAAAAACUUUUAAAUAUUUAAUAGAAAACAAAUAUACUUCCAAGGAAAAGCUAUGGAUAAACAAAGCCCAGAAUUAUCAAACCUAUCAGAACAGGUAUAUUUAUUUACGAUUAUGAAUAGCUAAAUUCAUAAAUUUCUGACAAUCAUGAUAUGAUAAAAUAAGUUCAUGAUAGUUGCUUUAUAGUAGAAUUAUUCAAAAAAUAGCAUGAUUAAGAAAUUUAUUAGCAAAGUGGAAAAGGAAAAAAAUUCCUAAGAACUAUGCCAUCCUAAAGGUGAAACCGGUGAGGCAAGAAAGCCGUGAUAGGGGAGUAGCCAGAGUAGAGGCGUUGUUUAAGGAAAAAGUAUCUAGAUUACCAUGCUAAUAGUGACCAA